AAGUUUGAUUCUGACUUCCCAAUUAAUCAAUUUUAGAAUUUUACACAUGCAUAUUCCGUUUACCCGUGAGGUCUUCUACUUAUUUAAAACUUUCUACACGAAAAUAAUGGCUUCUUUUUAUUUUCCAGUUUUCUCACGUCUGCAGUGUCUAACCCUCAUCUUAUCUUUGCGCAAGCAAGAAUGGGUCUAAAAUUUUCAAGCUGACUAAAUCUGUGCCAGCAGUCGCGGUUAUACAGAAAGCUUUAUUUAAUUCAUUUAGGGCUGAAUUUGAGGAAAAUUAUUUUAACUCUGGGGUUCAAUCCAGCUAAGUUUUUUACCUUCUUCCUCUCUAUUCAUAUUUUCGAAAGUUUAGACCAAAACAAGGAUUAGAUACCCUUUUAUUCUAAACCGUAAACACAAACCUGGGCACUACGAACUCAUGUUUAAAACCCAAAGAACUUGGCGGUACUCUAACCACUUAGGGGAACCUGUAACUUAAUAUGAUAAUCCACACUUGACCCUUCUCUUUCUUGACAAUCAGCUUGUGUACUGCCGUCGCCAGUUUACCUUUAAAAAGAACUUUAGUAAACUAACGAGUUAAUCCUCUUCACGUCAGGUCCUAGUGCAGCUAAUGAAUGAGUGCUCUAUGGGUUACAAUCUCUAAUAAGACAGCGAAUACUCUUUUUAAAAAGGAGUUGAAGAUGGACUUAAUUGUAAGGGUAUUUUAUAAUUUUACUCUGAACAAUGGAAAUCUAGAGUGUGCACAAAUCGCCCGUCACUCCCCUUGAAAAAGGGGAUAAGUCGUAACAUAGUAGGGGUAAUGGAAAUUGCCCCUAA
rnacentral:rRNA from 1 species